GAUAACUGGCUUGUGGCGUUGACGCGAUCACAGUGACAUCACUUUCUGAUCCUUCGAUGUCGGCUCUUCCUCUCAUCGUGAAGCAGAUUUGACCAAGCGCAGGAUUGUUCGCCCUCUAAUAGGGAACGUGAGCUGGGUUUAGAGCGUUGUGAGACUGGUU
rnacentral:ncRNA from 1 species